rnacentral:lncRNA from 1 species
UGUCUAAGUUCGGGUAUAAGUCUCCAUACGAUACCUUACUACAACGACGAUCGACCUGAAGCUAAAAGAAGAAGAAAAAUAUGGGUCGACUUCAUAAAGGCAAAACGUGUCUUCGUGCCUUCGAAAGCUUCGACUCUUUGUUCAGCGCACUUUAAGCCUGAAGACUACGAGCGAAGAUUCUCAAUUUUACCUGGGCAAACGAGAAACCAAAC